rnacentral:rRNA from 1 species
CAGGACGAACGCUGGCGGCGUGCCUAAUACAUGCAAGUCGAACGGCUUUUCUAUGGAAGCUUGCUUCCACUGAGAAGAUAGUGGCGAACGGGUGAGUAACACGUGGGUAACCUGCCCAUAAGAGGGGGAUAACGAUCCGGAAACGGGUGCUAAUACCGCAUAGUUUUCUUGAUCGCAUGAUCGGGAAAGGAAAGACGGCCUUUGUGCUGUCGCUUAUGGAUGGACCCGCGGCGUAUUAGUUAGUUGGUGAGGUAACGGCUCACCAAGACGAUGAUACGUAGCCGACCUGAGAGGGUGAUCGGCCACAUUGGGACUGAGACACGGCCCAAACUCCUACGGGAGGCAGCAGUAGGGAAUCUUCCGCAAUGGACGAAAGUCCGACGGAGCAACGCCGCGUGAGUGAAGAAAAGGUUUUCGGAUCGUAAAACUCUGUUGUCAGAGAAGAACAAGUUGGAGAGUAACUGCUCCAGCCUUGACGGUAUCUGACCAGAAAGCCACGGCUAACUACGUGCCAGCAGCCGC